rnacentral:rRNA from 1 species
UCGCACGAGAAAGGGUAGCGAUACCUGAGUAAAGUGGCGCACGGGUGAGUAACACGUGAAUGAUCUACCUCCGAGUGGGGAAUAACUGAGAGAAAUCUUAGCUAAUACCGCAUAACACUUACGAGUCAAAGCAGCAAUGCGCUUGGAGAGGAGUUCGCGGCCGAUUAGUUAGUUGGCGGGGUAAUGGCCCACCAAGACGAUGAUCGGUAUCCGGCCUGAGAGGGCGCACGGACACACUGGAACUGAAACACGGUCCAGACUCCUACGGGAGGCAGCAGUGGGGAAUUUUGCGCAAUGGGGGAAACCCUGACGCAGCAACGCCGCGUGGAGGAUGAAAUAUCUUGGUAUGUAAACUCCUUUCGAUGGGGAAGAUUAUGACGGUACCCAUAGAAGAAGCCCCGGCUAACUUCGUGCCAGCAGCCGCGGUAAUACGAGGGGGGCAAGCGUUGUUCGGAUUUAUUGGGCGUAAAGGGUGCGUAGGCGGUUUGGCAAGUCUUAUGUGAAAUCUAUGGGCUCAACCCAUAGUCUGCAUAAGAAACUGCCGGGCUUGAGUAUGGGAGAGGUGAGUGGAAUUUCCGGUGUAGCGGUGAAAUGCGUAGAUAUCGGAAGGAACACCUGUGGCGAAAGCGGCUCACUGGACCAUAACCGACGCUGAUGCACGAAAGCUAGGGGAGCAAACAGGAUUAGAUACCCUGGUAGUCCUAGCCCUAAACGAUG